AAAAACAAACUUUGUAUACGAAAAAUGCGUCUGAUAAAAUGCCCUUACCGGACCCGAGUCACCUUCACUAGGAUCCCUCCAACCGCAAGCCAGAGCCGUCGCGUCGUCGGCCUCAGCCCACCGUACUCUCAUCUUCGGUUGAAUUUCUCUCCCCUUUAGGCAUGAACUUGAGGUGGUGGGUUAUUGUAAAGGUAUCAGACACAAAGAUCAUCUGACCACACAUUGUACCACAGCACUUGCAGGGUGACUUUUUGGCAGUAGUUGCAUAGACACUUAUACCCUUUGUACUCAUUUCCUUUAUCUGUUUGCUUUCUUUUUGUUGUGUUUCAAUAUCUCCAAAGAUGGCUGCCAUUGAUGAUGGUUUGAAGAAGCUCGAGUACCUUUCCUUGGUUUCCAAAGUCUGUUCAGAGCUGGAAACCCAUCUAGGGUUUGGGGAUAAAGUUCUUGCUGAGUUCAUAACUGAGAUGGGACGAAACUGUGGGAACGUGGAUGAAUUUGAUGCCAAAUUGAAGGAGAAUGGUGCCGAGAUGCCCGAUUACUUUGUCCGCACACUCCUCACUAUCAUUCAUGCAAUUCUUCCUCCGAAGCCAAAGUCUGAGAAUGACUCAAUGAUAGACAGUACUACUGAAGGUAAGAAGACCAAGUUUAAGGCUCUGUCUAUUGCUGAUAACAGGGAUAGGGUAAAUGAUCUCCAGAGGGAAAUUGAGAUGGAGACCAAAGAAAAGAAAAGUGACCGAGAAGAGUGGGGUGAUGAGCGUGAAGAAGAUAGGCGUAGAGGUAGAGGUAGAGAUAGAGACAGAUAUGGGGAAAGGGAUCGAGACAGAGAUAGAGAUAGGGAUAGGAGAGAGAGGGGCAGGGAUAGGUAUGACAGAGAUGAGAGGCGUAGAGAUACACAUCAUGAUUAUGAUAAGGGAAGGCAUACAGACCGAUCCAAUAAGCACAGAAGGGAUGGGUAUCAAGAGGAUGAAGAUGUUAGAGAAGAUGGUGGUAACAGGAGAGGAGGUGGGGAUCAGCGGAGUGGACUGCACCAUUCUGAUGAGCCUGAAUUGUAUCAGGUUUAUAAGGGCAGGGUAUCAAAAGUCAUGGACACGGGUUGCUUUGUUCAGUUCAGUGACUUUAGGGGGAAGGAGGGUUUGGUUCAUGUUUCACAGAUGGCAACACGGCGUAUUGGUAAUGCUAAAGAUGUGGUGAAGAGGGAUCAAGAGGUCUAUGUUAAGGUGAUUUCAGUUUCUGGUCAGAAGUUGAGCCUUUCAAUGAGGGAUGUUGAUCAGCAUACCGGAAAGGAUUUGCUUCCAUUGAAGAAGAGCUCAGAGGAUGACGCUCAUAGGACAAACCCUUCGGUAUCAAAGCAUGAUGGGCCUGUGACAAGGACUGGUCUUUCUGGGAUUAGAAUUGUGGAAGAGAACAAUGUUGCCCCUUCUCGGCGGCCAUUAAAGAGAAUGAGCUCGCCGGAGAAGUGGGAAGCCAAACAGUUGAUUGCCUCAGGUGUUUUGGGGGUUACAGAAUAUCCAAUGUAUGAUGAGGAAACAGAGGGGAUGCUUUAUGAAGAAGAGGGAGCUGAGGAAGAGCUUGAAAUUGAGCUUAAUGAGGAUGAGCCAGCCUUUUUGCAAGGGCAAAGCAGGUAUUCUGUAGAUAUGUCACCUGUGAAAAUCUUUAAGAAUCCAGAGGGGUCAUUAAGUCGUGCAGCUGCACUUCAAUCUGCACUUAUUAAAGAGCGCAGAGAAGUGCGUGAGCAGCAGCAAAGAACCAUGUUGGAUUCAAUCCCAAAGGAUCUGAAUCGUCCCUGGGAAGAUCCAAUGCCAGAGACUGGUGAGAGGCAUCUUGCACAGGAGCUUAGAGGUGUUGGUUUGUCGGCCUAUGACAUGCCUGAGUGGAAGAAGGAUGCUUUUGGGAAGACUGUUAGUUUUGGGCAGAGGUCAAAGCUCUCACUUCAGGAACAGAGGCAGAGCUUGCCUAUCUACAAGCUCAAGAAAGAAUUGGUUCAGGCAGUGCAUGAAAAUCAAGUUCUUGUUGUCAUUGGUGAGACUGGUUCGGGCAAGACAACCCAGGUAACACAAUAUCUUGCAGAAGCAGGUUACACAACAAUGGGUAAGAUUGGGUGUACACAACCACGUAGGGUGGCUGCGAUGUCUGUAGCCAAGAGAGUUGCUGAAGAAUUUGGUUGUCGUUUGGGGGAGGAAGUUGGCUAUGCUAUUCGUUUUGAGGAUUGCACUGGCCCUGAUACUGUCAUCAAGUACAUGACUGAUGGUAUGCUUCUUAGGGAGAUUUUGAUCGAUGAAAACCUUUCUCAGUACUCUGUGGUCAUGCUUGAUGAAGCUCAUGAGAGGACAAUCCAUACAGAUGUUCUUUUUGGAUUAUUGAAGAAACUUAUCAAGCGGAGACCAGACCUACGUUUAAUUGUCACAUCUGCUACCUUAGAUGCUGAGAAGUUUUCAGGUUAUUUCUUCGACUGUAACAUCUUCACUAUACCGGGGAGAACUUUUCCUGUAGAGAUACUAUACACCAAGCAGCCAGAAAGUGAUUAUCUUGAUGCAUCUCUAAUCACUGUUCUACAGAUUCACUUAACAGAACCAGAAGGGGAUAUCCUUCUCUUCUUGACGGGACAGGAAGAAAUUGAUUUCUCAUGCCAGUCACUUUUUGAGAGGAUGAAAGGUCUUGGUAAAAAUGUACCUGAGUUGAUUAUCUUACCAGUUUACAGUGCCCUUCCUAGUGAAAUGCAGUCGAGGAUUUUUGAUCCAGCUCCACCUGGGAAGAGGAAAGUAGUUGUGGCUACUAAUAUUGCUGAGGCAUCACUAACCAUUGAUGGGAUAUUUUAUGUAAUUGAUCCUGGAUUUGCAAAGCAAAAUGUUUAUAACCCAAAGCAAGGGCUGGAUUCACUGGUCAUAACCCCAAUUUCACAAGCAUCAGCCAAGCAAAGAGCUGGGCGCGCUGGGCGUACUGGGCCUGGAAAGUGUUACCGCCUCUACACUGAGAGUGCAUACCGCAAUGAGAUGUCCCCUACUUCAGUUCCAGAAAUUCAGAGGAUAAAUCUUGGGUUAACUACACUUACCAUGAAAGCAAUGGGGAUAAACGAUCUGUUGUCUUUUGAUUUUAUGGAUCCUCCGUCACCCCAAGCACUCAUUUCUGCUAUGGAACAACUGUACAGUUUAGGAGCACUCGAUGAGGAGGGGCUUCUCACCAAACUGGGUAGGAAAAUGGCUGAGUUUCCUCUUGAUCCACCACUAUCUAAGAUGCUACUGGCCAGUGUGGACCUUGGAUGCAGUGAUGAGAUCUUGACCAUGAUUGCCAUGAUUCAGACAGGCAAUAUAUUUUACAGGCCUAGGGAAAAACAAGCCCAGGCUGAUCAGAAGAGAGCCAAGUUUUUCCAGCCAGAGGGAGACCAUCUGACUUUACUUGCAGUGUAUGAGGCUUGGAAAGCUAAGAACUUUUCAGGGCCAUGGUGCUUUGAGAACUUCGUUCAGUCUCGAUCCCUUAGGAGGGCACAGGAUGUCAGAAAACAGCUUCUAAGCAUCAUGGAUAAGUAUAAACUGGAUGUUGUGAGUGCUGGAAAGAAUUUUACACAGAUCAGGAAGGCAAUUACGGCGGGAUUUUUCUUCCAUGGUGCUAGAAAGGACCCUCAGGAGGGGUAUAGAACCUUAGUGGAGAACCAGCCAGUUUAUAUCCAUCCAAGCAGUGCGCUCUUCCAGAGACAACCAGAUUGGAUCAUCUACCAUGAGUUGGUUAUGACUACGAAGGAGUAUAUGCGUGAGGUAACCGUCGUUGACCCCAAAUGGCUUGUGGAACUAGCACCCAGGUUCUUCAAAGUGGCAGACCCUACCAAGAUGAGUAAGCGCAAGCGUCAAGAGCGUAUUGAACCGCUAUAUGACAGAUACCAUGAACCAAACUCUUGGCGUCUUAGUAAACGACGUGCAUGAUAUGUGUUGGUUUCAAGCCUGCUGUCAGCGUGAAUGUGUUUUGAUUUUUCUUUUAGUGCAAAUGUAAACGGAUUGUAAGACAACUUCUACAUACUCUAUCUACUUCGUAUCCAUUUUGGGGUCGAAGAAGAAAUCACAGCUCCAGCAGUCUCCAUCUGGCUCUCUAUUUGGAAACAUAUUUGCCUCUGCAGAUGUGCAGAGGAGAGAGAAACAAAGGGCCAUUUCUUUUGCAAGGGGCAGAAAUUCAAUUCCAUAAGGUUCCAGUGUUGUUUAUUUCUUCACAACCGCUUCUGUUUCGAACUCAUGAAAAAAUCUUCCAAAACCUUUUGCACCAUAUCAGAUUGGAGAUUGAACAAGGUCUGUUUACUUACAUAAUAACAAUGAUUUUAUCCUUUAUUGACAUAUACCACCUUUUUUUUGAGGUUUUAUUUUGGUACUAAUUUUCUUUGACUUCGGUAUAUCUUUUAUUGUUAUGCUGUUCAAUUAAAGUAUCGAGAAUACACUUUUUUUUAUGCCUUCAACUGUGUUUGAUGAGUGGCUUCAGUGGACGGCUGGCAUCCUACAGUUCCAAGUCCAGGUUCAUUGUUGUUUUAAUUUCCUGAAGAGGGUAGUAUUGGGAACCAGGGAAUUUGAUUAGAGGAUUUAGAGAAGUUGAGAAGAUUUCUUAUAUCUGUCUUUUGUCAGAAUGGUCUUUUGAUAAUUGCUUUUCAAGUCUGUGGCGCCAAGCUAACCUAGGUCUUUCUGGGACCUCAACACUACUUAUAAUAGGAAUUCUUUAUGGAAAAUGGUUGACAGGAAGGUCCCGCCCAGCUGCUUUAGCGGUGUCUUUCUCAUGUUGGUGUGAGGCUUUGAGCUUUGACCAGUUUCACUUUGCUCUGAAAGUAAAGGGCCGCUGGACAUUCUUUUGAGGUUCGUUAGAGGCUAAUUUUCUAGUGACUUCUUUUCCCCUCUCGAGUCUGCGGCAUCUUGGUUGCAAGAAUAGUGAAUUUUAUAAUUUGCAGUUAAGUUGUGUUUCAAGAUCUACCAUUUACUUUGUAUAGAUGCGGUUUUUGUAUACAAAAUGCUCUGUUUUUGUAUCACAGUUUUGUUAAAAGAAGUAAAUUAUUUUGGAUA